GUUUGGAUGGGUGUUCUUUGAAGACGGAGGUUGGUGGUGCACUUUUAAGUGCAGUAGGUAGAGAUGGAAACAGCCAAAUGUUUCCAAUCUCUUGGUGUGUUGUGGAAGGUGAGACUGAGCAUAGUUGAACAUGGUUUCUAGAAAGGUUAUUUAAAGACUUGAAUGUUAUAUCUGGACUUGGUUUAACUUCAGUUAGUGACCAACAAAAGGUAAACAAUAAUUUUUUUUUUCAUUUAUUUACAUAAAGUUCAAGUUUUUUUAUGUAUUAAUACUAAUUCGAUGUUAAUUUAUCACAAGGACUUGCAAAUGCAAUAAGAGAGUUAGUGCCAUAUGCAGAGCACAAAAAUUGUGCCAAGCAUAUUUAUGCCAAUUGGUAAAAAACUCAUAGGGGUCAAGAAUUUAAAGCAUUCUUCUAGAAGGUUGUGAAUGCAACAUAUGUGGCUGCAUUCAAUGUGCUCACAGACAAAUUGAAGGAAAUAUCUGAGAAAGCACAUGAAGAUUUAAUGAAGCAAGAUCCCAAAAUAUUUUGCAAAGCCUUCACCAAUGUAUGGCCUAAAUGAGAUGUCAUAACCUCAAACCUUGCAAAAACCUUUAAUUCAUACAUUUUUAACGCUAGGACAAAGCCCAUAAUUAUCAUGUUAGAGGAAAUUAGGACAUUCUUAACGGAGAGAAUGUUCACUAAAAGUGAGGACAUGAAAAAGUGUGAAGACACUAUUUGUCCUAGGGUGAGAAAGAUUAUUGAAGCUGCCAAAAAGGGGACAAAAUUUUGUGUAGUUAAG
rnacentral:misc_RNA from 1 species